GUGGAUUAAAAUAUUCUUUCAGUGUUCAAAGUCUUUGCAAAAAGAACAUACAAAUCGAGGAAUAUGAUUUAAGACUACGGUAUAUCUACGGUAUAUUUUUAAAAUGAGAAGGUAUAUGCUGGUAUACUUUGGAGAAUCCGAAGGUAUAUUUUAUCGAUAGCUCCGCGGUCACACUGGGUAAAUUUCAACUUUGAAAUCUUUAAAAUCAAUUAAUUGUGUAAUACCAAGUGGUUAAUACCAUAAAUCAAAUCGGUUGUUUUGUUAGCUUUCAGUUCAGUGAUUUGAAACCAGAAACCUCUGUUCCCAUUGAUAUUCACCUCGCGCUGAGUGUGCCCCGUCUGUGUGUGAGUGUGUGUGCGCGUACGGCUGGGAGCCACCAAAGAAAUUUGAGGUUAAGACCUUUCUGACCACGGCAGCAGCUGAAUAUUGUGUUAAUGUCGUUCGCAAGAUAUCAAUUGCCAGUUAAAUUCAAUAUAAAACACUUGUAAACUGAUAUACAAAGUACAAUAAAAGCUGUAAUUCUGUUGAGACACAGAAGCCAAUUGCAUUCGUGAAAUAAUAGUCUCGUCUUGUGUGUGUACGCGCGUGUAUUGUGCUGUGUGAGUGUUCGUGAAUUCAAUUUUCUCGUGCACCCAAAAAAGCAACGAAAAGCUCCAAAAGUUAUACUCAAAUGUGUAUGGCAAUUGUGGUA
rnacentral:lncRNA from 1 species